UACAGAGGUCUCGAGCGUUAGGCGGAAUCACUGGGCUUAAAGCGUGUGUAGGCGGGUCGUUAAGUGCCUUGUGAAAUCCCAUGGCUCAACCAUGGAACUGCUGGGCAUACUGGCGAUCUUGUGCCACCUAGGGGCGAGCGGAACAGAUGGUGGAGCGGUGAAAUGCGUAGAUAUCAUCUGGAACGCCAAUGGUGAAAACAGCUCGCUGGGGGUGUGCAGACGCUGAGACGCGAAAGCGUGGGGAGCAAACAGG
rnacentral:rRNA from 1 species